rnacentral:rRNA from 1 species
GCAGAACGCGAAGAACCUUACCAAGGCUUGACAUGGGGAAGACCGGACGAGAGAUCGUCCUUCUCUAGCAAUAGAGCUUCCCACACAGGUGCUGCAUGGCUGUCGUCAGCUCGUGUCGUGAGAUGUUGGGUUAAGUCCCGCAACGAGCGCAACCCUCGUUUCUAGUUGCCAUCAUUCAGUUGGGCCCUCUAGAGAGACUGCCGCGAAUAACGCGGAGGAAGGUGGGGACGACGUCAAGUCAUCAUGGCCCUUACGUCUUGGGCUACACACGUGCUACAAUGGGCGUUACAAAGGGUCGCAAGAGCGCAAGCUGGAGCCAAUCCCCAAAAGCGUCCUCAGUUCAGAUUGAGGUCUGCAACUCGACCUCAUGAAGGUGGAAUCGCUAGUAAUCGCGGAUCAGAACGCCGCGGUGAAUACGUUCCCGGGUCUUGUACACACCG